CUGUAUGUUUAUCGCCAUUUCGAAGAAGCGCAGACAGUCAUCGGUCGGAGCUCAGAGCUGAUCUGCUGGACUCAACAUACUUUCAGUUCAUAAAGAAUGAAAAGAUUGCUGACAAACUGCUGCUGGAAAUGCCUGCAGUUCCUUCUUCCACUAAAGACCUGGACACUGUCUGAUGGAUGUGGCUGACUGGCUGCUCUUGUUGUCUAAACUGAAGGGUGACGGAGCUGCGAGGAGGUCGACGAAGGACGAUCUAUAGAACCACAGUAUGUGAGCAUCACUCUGAACUCCAGUUAAUCCAGUAUGGAUGGUCACAGUGUUUCCCUCCAGCUCCUGCAGUCUGACAACCUCUUCUCCAGCUGAGCACAGCAGACCUGAAACAGUUGUGAGUUCAGCCAUCUGACAUAUGAAGGAGGUGAGUGAGCUACAAAACCAAUAUAGAAAAAGAAAUAUAUUCAGUCUGUAAACAAGAGCUGCAUUCACAUGAACCUACUCCCUUAAAAUCAUUCUGUAAAUAAAACUAGUCUGGAUUCUCUUAAAAGUGAUAAAUAAAUGCAGCAUUUGUAUACUUCUAUUUAUUUCUUUUGUCACCACUGAAAUACUUAUUUAUACUGUUUUUGCAAUUAGUUCUUAUAUGUAUAGUCAUUUUAGUUGCACAUCAUUUUGAAUAUGACUACACAUAGUGAGGGUGGUGUUACCUUUAUGUUCAUUGUUUUAUUUGCAGGGCAGUAAUCAGUUGCAUUUAGUCCUCCAGCACAACUCAGAAAAAAAUAUUAAAGCUUCUUCAGCUGUUCAACUGUUUAAUUCCUUUUUUUUUUAACUGCUGUCAGAUAUUCUACUUCUCCACUUUGUGGUCUGGCUGUUGUCAUCAGCUUCAGGGAAGCACCACAAACAAUAACAACAGACUCAGCAAGUGAAAAAAGCAGAAAUAAACAGCUGAAUAGAGGUUCUCAGGUUCUCAGAUAAAGUGUCAUGUUGUCAGAGGAUCGUUCGACUUAAGAGAAGUCCUGAACAACACACCAAUGUGUGCUACAACUGUCUAUUGCAUGUUUAUUGUAAAGGGGUCAAAAUGAUAAUAAUGAUAUAUUAUGAAAUAAAAGCGUUUUGAAAAAGG